CCGCUUCUAACUUCCAUUUGCAGAGUUCAAGUAAUCUGGAAAUGGAUUAGAAUCGUGGAA
rnacentral:pre_miRNA from 1 species